GGAGAUGUAGCUCAGGGGUAGAGUACUUGCCUAGAAUGCAGAAUGCCCUGGGUUUAAUCCCCAGCACCA
rnacentral:tRNA from 1 species